AUCGCUUUUAGCUUAAAUCCACAUAACAGACACUUCGUGUCGACUUUGCUGCGCAUUUUCGCUAUUAUGUGUUCUUUUAAUUAAAAUGAUUCUUUUUAAAUCUCUAAUAUUUGCUUCGGCAUUUUUGGAGAUUUGUUACUUUGAGUAAAUUAGAGUGUUCAAAGCAAACAGAUAUAGCAUUUGUGCGUUUGAAUACUACAGCAUGGAAUAACAAAAUUGAACAAGUCAAAAUUUUUGUUCUUUUUUCUUAUUUUGGCUUAGUUACGAUUAAUAGGAGUAGCUUGGGGGCAUUUGUAUUCAGAUGUCAGAGGUGAAAUUCUUAGAUUUUCUGGAGACAAACAACUGCGAAAGCAUUUGCCUAAAAUACUUCCAUUAAUCAAGAACGAAAGUUAAGGGAGUGAAGACGAUCAGAUACCGUCGUAAUCUUAACCAUAAACUAUGCCGACUAGGCUUUGGAUGAAAGAUUUUAAAAUAAGAGUUUUCCUUUCCCUUCGGGUUAGGACUCAAU
rnacentral:rRNA from 1 species